GUAUUGAGUUUCUAUAGGCCUAAGCCUUUUGAAAUCGACAUUCUGUUUAACAUACAGGGGUGUGUAAGAGACAUAGACCCAGGAAGAUUCGAUGGAAGCCGGCCAGAGGCACGACAACCUUCGCAUCCGCAACACAAAAGAGUGCGCGAGAGGUUAUCCUGGGACUACAAAGGGUUCACAGGUGGAAAGAUAAAGGUGACAGGUGUGCACAUGCUCCGAGAAGCCAGCUACAACCAUGCCAGAUUUAUUCAAUAAUGAUCCUUCCGCAGGUUCACCUACGGAAA
rnacentral:misc_RNA from 1 species